rnacentral:rRNA from 1 species
UGGUGGAGUGAUUUGUCUGGUUAAUUCCGUUAACGAACGAGACCUCAGCCUGCUAAUUAGCUUUCGCAAUUUCGAUUGACGCGAGCUUCUUAGAGGGACUAUCGGCUUUCAAGUCGGGGGAAGGUGUGAGGCAAUAACA